UUUGUAUAAUGGGUCAGCGACUUAUAUUCUGUAGCAAGGUUAACCGAAUAGGGGAGCCGCAGGGAAACCGAGUCUUAACUGGGCGUUAAGUUGCAGGGUAUAGACCCGAAACCCGGUGAUCUAGCCAUGGGCAGGUUGAAGGUUGGGUAACACUAACUGGAGGACCGAACCGACUAAUGUUGAAAAAUUAGCGGAUGACCUGUGGCUGGGGGUGAAAGGCCAAUCAAACCGGGAGAUAGCUGGUUCUCCCCGAAAGCUAUUUAGGUAGCGCCUCGUGAAUUCAUCUGUGGGGGUAGAGCACUGUUUCGGCUAGGGGGCCAUCCCGGCUUACCAACCCGAUGCAAACUACGAAUACCACAGAAUGUUAUCACGGGAGACACACGGCGGGUGCUAACGUCCGUCGUGAAGAGGGAAACAACCCAGACCGCCAGCUAAGGUCCCAAAGUCAUGGUUAAGUGGGAAACGAUGUGGGAAGGCCCAGACAGCCAGGAUGUUGGCUUAGAAGCAGCCAUCAUUUAAAGAAAGCGUAAUAGCUCACUGGUCGAGUCGGCCUGCGCGGAAGAUGUAACGGGGCUAAACCAUGCACCGAAGCUGCGGCAGCGACACUCAGGUGUUGUUGGGUAGGGGAGCGUUCUGUAAGCCGUUGAAGGUGGACUGUGAGGUCUGCUGGAGGUAUCAGAAGUGCGAAUGCUGACAUAAGUAACGAUAAAGCGGGUGAAAAGCCCGCUCGCCGGAAGACCAAGGGUUCCUGUCCAACGUUAAUCGGGGCAGGGUGAGUCGACCCCUAAGGCGAGGCCGAAAGGCGUAGUCGAUGGGAAACAGGUUAAUAUUCCUGUACUUGGUGUUACUGCGAAGGGGGGACGGAGAAGGCUAUGUUGGCCGGGCGACGGUUGUCCCGGUUUAAGCGUGUAGGUGUGUGCGCCAGGCAAAUCCGGUGCACUUUAACACUGAGGCGUGAUGACGAGGCACCACGGUGCUGAAGUGACAAAUGCCCUGCUUCCAGGAAAAGCCUCUAAGCAUCAGGUAACACGAAAUCGUACCCCAAACCGACACAGGUGGUCAGGUAGAGAAUACCAAGGCGCUUGAGAGAACUCGGGUGAAGGAACUAGGCAAAAUGGUGCCGUAACUUCGGGAGAAGGCACGCUGGCACGUAGGUGAAGUCCCUCGCGGAUGGAGCUGAAGCCAGUCGAAGAUACCAGCUGGCUGCAACUGUUUAUUAAAAACACAGCACUGUGCAAACACGAAAGUGGACGUAUACGGUGUGACGCCUGCCCGGUGCCGGAAGGUUAAUUGAUGGGGUUAUCCGUAAGGAGAAGCUCUUGAUCGAAGCCCCGGUAAACGGCGGCCGUAACUAUAACGGUCCUAAGGUAGCGAAAUUCCUUGUCGGGUAAGUUCCGACCUGCACGAAUGGCGUAAUGAUGGCCAGGCUGUCUCCACCCGAGACUCAGUGAAAUUGAAAUCGCUGUGAAGAUGCAGUGUACCCGCGGCAAGACGGAAAGACCCCGUGAACCUUUACUAUAGCUUGACACUGAACACUGGUCCUUGAUGUGUAGGAUAGGUGGGAGGCUUUGAAGCGUGGACGCCAGUCUGCGUGGAGCCGUCCUUGAAAUACCACCCUUUAAUGGCUGGUGUUCUAACGUGGACCCGUGAUCCGGGUUGCGGACAGUGUCUGGUGGGUAGUUUGACUGGGGCGGUCUCCUCCUAAAGCGUAACGGAGGAGCACGAAGGUUGGCUAAUCCUGGUCGGACAUCAGGAGGUUAGUGCAAUGGCAUAAGCCAGCUUGACUGCGAGCGUGACGGCGCGAGCAGGUGCGAAAGCAGGUCAUAGUGAUCCGGUGGUUCUGAAUGGAAGGGCCAUCGCUCAACGGAUAAAAGGUACUCCGGGGAUAACAGGCUGAUACCGCCCAAGAGUUCAUAUCGACGGCGGUGUUUGGCACCUCGAUGUCGGCUCAUCACAUCCUGGGGCUGAAGUAGGUCCCAAGGGUAUGGCUGUUCGCCAUUUAAAGUGGUACGCGAGCUGGGUUUAGAACGUCGUGAGACAGUUCGGUCCCUAUCUGCCGUGGGCGCUGGAGAACUGAGGGGGGCUGCUCCUAGUACGAGAGGACCGGAGUGGACGCAUCACUGGUGUUCGGGUUGUCAUGCCAAUGGCACUGCCCGGUAGCUACAUGCGGAAGAGAUAAGUGCUGAAAGCAUCUAAGCACGAAACUUGCCCCGAGAUGAGUUCUCCCUGAGACUUAAAGUCUCCUGAAGGAACGUUGAAGACGACGACGUUGAUAGGCCGGGUGUGUAAGCGCAGCGAUGCGUUGAGCUAACCGGUACUAAUGAGCCGUGAGGCUUAACCUUACAACGCCAGAGUGGUUU
rnacentral:rRNA from 1 species